rnacentral:rRNA from 1 species
CGAUCUGGCUCAGAACGAACGCUGGCGGCGCGUUUAAGCAUGCAAGUCGAGCGGCAAGGGCCUUCGGGCCCCUAGAGCGGCGGACGGGUGAGUAACACGUGGACAAUCUGCCCCCCGGCCCGGGAUAGCCCAGGGAAACCUGGAUUAAUACCGGAUGAGACGGGACCCGCGAUGGCGGGAUCCGGGAAAGGCGCUGCGGCGCCGCCGGGGGAUGAGUCUGCGUCCCAUUAGCUAGACGGCGGGGUAACGGCCCACCGUGGCGACGAUGGGUAGCCGGCCUGAGAGGGUGGACGGCCACAUUGGAACUGAGACACGGUCCAGACUCCUACGGGAGGCAGCAGCUAAGAAUCUUCCGCAAUGGGCGAAAGCCUGACGGAGCCGACGCCGCGUGAACGAAGAAGGCCGUGAGGUUGUAAAGUUCUUUUCGGGAGGGGGAACAACCGUGGCAGGGAAUGGCCGCGGGAUGACGUGAAUCCCGGAAUAAGCCCCGGCUAACUACGUGCCAGCCGCCGC